UUUUAUUAGGCGUUGGGGUAGUGUUUGCUCGUGUUUGCCGGUGGAAUACGGGAUUCUUCGGUAACGUUGGGUUUUGUCCAAGCUCUUUUUCUGUGAGAGCUGUGGCUGAGAGCAGAGAGACGAUUCAGGCCGAGUGGAGCUGGAACCUCGGCGUGAGCCCGAGACAGGCGGCUCACGUCUCCGGAGCAAACCAGAGGGAAAAUGGCGGACGUGGAGGCCAGGUAAGGCCCACGCGGAACGUUUAAAACGCUAAGCUUGGGUUGAUCUGUGACCACAGGCCAACAUGUUUGAUUAUGUGCCGAGUUUCCGCAUGACGGACGAAGGGAUCCAGCGGAGCAGCCGAGUCCAUUUGGGAGAAAGCACCGCGUUUGGCGUCGCUCAUCAGCUCUGCAGUCAUUCUCUUUACACUGCUGGGUUUAGAUGAAGGAGCUGCUGAUCCAGCAUGAACCAUGAGAAGAUGCAUGUUAGCAAAUACUACUCAAUGUUUCUACAUUGCAUCAGUAUGUGGAAGCUGAAAGGUGGUAAUAUCAACUACAAGUAAUGCUUUGCAGCAAGUCGUGAACCUGUGGGAUGAUCAAAAGUGAUUCGUAGCUGAUAGUUAAUAUGAAAUCAUUUAUGUCCUUGAUGGGAAAAGUGUGAUCACUAAUGCUGAAUAUUUUUUGAAUGGUAAUCAUUUAGUUUCAAGUAGUUUGAAUCAUGUCUUUAUUGGCAGUGAGGUUGAACUGGGUUUUGCCACAUCGCCCUCUACUGGACAACUGGAGAAACUCCAAGACUGUCAUAUAUCCACGCACUGUCUGAUGUACUUGUUUAUGCAAACAAUGCAAUAACGGUGUCUGUUUCUCGAUGUCCUCUGACAUAAUCAACAUUUCAUUCUAAACAAUGCAAUAACGGUGUCUGUUUCUCGAUGUCCUCUGACAUAAUCAACAUUUCAUUCUAAACAAUGCAAUAACGGUGUCUGUUUCUCGAUGUCCUCUGACAUAAUCAACAUUUCAUUCUAAACAAAG